UACGAAGGGGGCUAGCGUUGUUCGGAAUUACUGGGCGUAAAGCGCACGUAGGCGGACUAUUAAGUCAGGGGUGAAAUCCCGGGGCUCAACCCCGGAACUGCCUUUGAUACUGGUAGUCUCGAGUCCGGAAGAGGUGAGUGGAAUUCCGAGUGUAGAGGUGAAAUUCGUAGAUAUUCGGAGGAACACCAGUGGCGAAGGCGGCUCACUGGUCCGGUACUGACGCUGAGGUGCGAAAGCUAGGGGAGCAAACAGG
rnacentral:rRNA from 1 species